rnacentral:rRNA from 1 species
CUGGUCUGUAACUGACGCUGAGGCUCGAAAGUAUGGGUAGCAAACAGGAUUAGAUACCUGGUAGUCCAUACCGUAAACGAUGAAUGCUAAGUGUUGGAGGUUUCCCCUUCAGUGCUGCAGCUAACGCAUUAAGCAUUCCGCUGGGGAGUACGGCCGCAAGGCUGAAACUCAAAGGAAUUGACGGGGGCCCGCACAAGCGGUGGAGCAUGUGGUUUAAUUCGAAGCUACGCGAAGAACCUUACCAGGUCUUGACAUACUAUGCAAAUCUAAGAGAUUAGACGUUCCCUUCGGGGACAUGGAUACAGGUGGUGCAUGGUUGUCGUCAGCUCGUGUCGUGAGAUGUUGGGUUAAGUCCCGCAACGAGCGCAACCCUUAUUAUCAGUUGCCAGCAUUAAGUUGGGCACUCUGGUGAGACUGCCGGUGACAAACCGGAGGAAGGUGGGGAUGACGUCAAAUCAUCAUGCCCCUUAUGACCUGGGCUACACACGUGCUACAAUGGAUGGUACAACGAGUUGCGAACUCGCGAGAGUAAGCUAAUCUCUUAAAGCCAUUCUCAGUUCGGAUUGUAGGCUGCAACUCGCCUACAUGAAGUCGGAAUCGCUAGUAAUCGCGGAUCAGCAUGCCGCGGUGAAUACGUUCCCGGGCCUUGUACACACCGCCCGUCACACCAUGAGAGUUUGUAACACCCAAAGUCGGUGGGGUAACCUUUAGGAACCAGCCGCCUAAGGUGGGACAGAUGAUUAGGGUGAAGUCGUAACAAGGUAACCA